UCAUGUGGUCAGGGUUCUACCUGGCCUGGUUGUUCAUGUGGUCAGGGUUCUACCUGGCCUGGUUGUUCAUGUGGUCAGGGUUCUACCUGGUUCGGUUGUUCAUGUGGUCAGGGUUCUACCUGGCCUGGGGUUCUUCAUUCGGGCGUGAUCAGGGUGACGAGGCAUACCAUGUGUGAGCGUGAUGACAUGGGGAUACGCACUUAUUAUACAUCACAACAUUUUAGGCAAUGGUCCUUCAAGCUUGAAAGACUGCGACAUGGCUGCCCUUUCUAGCCCCGACAUGAUAGUUGACUGGCAGGCCCUGUGGAUCGUAUCUUCUGGACUCCUGUGCUGGGAUGCAGGUUUUUCUUGGGCUGAAUUGUAAUGCAUUUGUCGAUGCUAGCUGGACCUGGGAGUUGGGUCCCCCUUUGAAUCAGAAACCAUCUUGGUAACAUCCCAACUAGGGUUCUCUUCAUGCUGUAACCAAGCUCUUCUUCAGCUGAGGAGGAAAAGAAAUCCUCGCUGAGGCUUCAAGAUCUAUGAAGAGGAAUAUUGAAAUGUGUGCAAUGGUUCCCUCCCGUAGGCGCUGUGGUGUAUUCUAGUCGCUGAGAAAGAGCCCUCGCAUCCUACCCAUGGCGUCUCUCCUUGGGGAGUCCCUGUCACAGUCUUGACGGAUGUUCCAGGUCAUGUAACUGAUGCAACAGCCCUUUUGAACACUGUUUCUCCGGAGGGGGGCACGUCUACAGAACAGUAGACUUCAGAUAGCACAGUAUCCUAACAUGCAUCUCUAGCCACUCAGACCACACCCGGAUCAAUAUGACAAUGCUCAUGCGAUGUGAAGCGAGGAAGUGGCCAAAAGACAGAUUAGUUAGCUUUUUUUGUACACUGGCAAGCAUUGUUAAUUGGUAGGUAAUUAGUUAAAUGGGGUAACUGAAAUGUUUAGUCAAAAUGAUUUGUACAUAAACCAACAGCAACAAACUACCAGAUCGCCUCAAGGUAAGUCUGUUGGCUGUAUUUUGCACUGAGACGACCACAAGAUCUUCAUCGUCGUUCAGCUCAAGGUGAGGUGCUGGUUACGUUACUUAGGGAUGGUUCAUACUGGAACGUUACGAUUCCAGUAUGACGGGGCUUGGGGUUUCUGUAGAGGUUGGUAGUUAGUUUUGUGCAGUCUGUGAAGCUCUAAUGCUGCAGUACUGUGUGGUGGAUGUUGAGUCACCUGGGAGGAUAACUGGCAGUACGAUCAGGAUUGGCAAUUGCGUUAUGUCCACACCUUAUUAUGGCGUCUGGCAGUAUGAUCAGGAUUGGCAAUUGCGUUAUGUCAUCCACACCUUAUUAUGGCGUCUGGCAGCACGAUCAAUAUUGGCAUUUGCGUAAACCUCAUAACUAAUGAGCGUACCCAAUUAAGGUAAUCUGGCAGUGCCCCAUUUCUAUACGUAACCAUCUGCGAUUAUUGGUAAAUCCUUAUGCACUACAAAUUAGGAAGGGCACUCUUAAAAUAUAUAUUUUAAUUAUCCCACAAAAUACCGCAAACUACUUUGAUAACUGCGCUCUACAAUCAACUCUAGAUUUUCUGCGUAUACAUUAUCGGGUCGCGUAAAAGAUGGAGACGACGGCAUUUACAUACUACGGCUUUUUAGUUCUUCAACAACCCAGCAGCUGAAUGUGGCUAAGUAUCAUUUUACUAUCUAAAUUACUAUUGAUAUUGCUAGUGUUCUAAAUUUCUGGGCUGUGAUCUGCUCAAUAUAGUUUCUGCUAGACUUCAGAAACAAAAGGAAGGGUUAAAUCUAAGUGUGCUUGUUUACGUAUUAUCAAAUGGUAUAGCUGUUUAGAAAAGUAAAGUUAAUUGUUGCGCAAAUGCUACCAUAAACCUUUGACUUUUGAAUAAAUCAAACUAAGCACAAGGCAACUAAGAUACGUGGUGACCUAGAACUCUUAUAUUGAUGUUCAGUUUAUUCUUGCUGAGGCAGUGAUGUAAAGCGCGUCAUGUUUUUAAAUGGAUGAAUGUUGUGCUAACAGACGGGGGAAACUCCAGGCCUUGCAGUCCUGAUCCUGUAUGAUGCAGAAGAUGUCAAUCCAACCGCACAUUGAUCUCUGCAGCGUGGUCGGUGGGAGGAGAUGUGUCCGAGCUGUUGAACCAGGCUCUAUCGGUACCAGGACUCUGUGAUGGAGGGGAGCUGAUAGAGCCGUGCUGAGGACCUGCCGGUGAAGGACGUCCCUCGUGGGGGGGCAAGGACAGCCGACCCUGAGGUCAGGACGCGUUGGUGGAGGAGGAGGACUGAUGGAGGAGAGCCGACGGAGCCAUGGUGGACGAAAGCCGAUGGCGCCAUGGUGGACGAGAGCCGACAGCGCCAUGGUGGACGAAAGCCGACGGAGCCAUGGUGGACGAGAGCCGGCGGCGCCAUGGUGGACGAGAGCCGACGGCGCCAUGGUGGACGAAAGCCGACGGAGCCAUGGUGGACGAGAGCCGGCGGCGCCAUGGUGGACGAGAGCCGAUGGAGGAGCCGUGGUGGAGGUCCUGCCUUAAGAAUGAUGUCGGGACCCGAUGGCCUUUGCUGAUGGAGGAACUGCAUCUGGAGGACGACCAUGAAUCUACCUGCCAACAGGUGGUACUGGUUUGCACUGGUUUGCAUGAACUGAACAUGGUGGACAUGAGGCAAAUCCCCUGCUGUUUGCCCCAGACCAGGACUGGGUGAUGGAGGGGUGGUGAUGGAGCCAUGCUGAGGACCCGCUGGUGAAGGACGUCCCUCGUGGGGGGGGCAAGGACAGCCGACCCUGAGUGAUCUCUGCAGCGUGGUCGGUGGGAGGAGAUGUGGCCGAGCCAUUGAACCAGGCUCUAUCGGUGUCAGGACGCGUUGGUGGAGGAGGAGGGCUGAUGGAGGAGAGCCGAGGGAGCCAUGGUGGACGAGAGCCGACGGAGCCAUGGUGGACGAAAGCCGACGGAGCCAUGGUGGACGAGAGCCGACGGCGCCAUGGUGGACGAAAGCCGACGGAGCCAUGGUGGACGAGAGCCGACGGCGCCAUGGUGGACGAAAGCCGACGGAGGAGCCGUGGUGGAGGUCCUGCCUUAAGAAUGAUGUCGGGACCCGAUGGCCUUUGCUGAUGGAGGAACUGCAUCUGGAGGACGACCAUGAAUCUACCUGCCAACAGGUGGUACUGGUUUGCACUGGUUUGCAUGAACUGAACAUGGUGGACAUGAGGCAAAUCCCCUGCUGUUUGCCCCAGACCAGGACUGGGUGAUGGAGGGGUGGUGAUGGAGCCAUGCUGAGGACCCGCUGGUGAAGGACGUCCCUCGUGGGGGGGGCAAGGACAGCCGACCCUGAGUGAUCUCUGCAGCGUGGUCGGUGGGAGGAGAUGUGGCCGAGCCAUUGAACCAGGCUCUAUCGGUGUCAGGACGCGUUGGUGGAGGAGGGCUGAUGGAGGAGAGCCGAGGGAGCCAUGGUGGACGAGAGCCGAGGGAGCCAUGGUGGACGAGAGCCGACGGAGCCAUGGUGGACGAGAGCCGACGGAGCCAUGGUGGACGAAAGCCGACGGAGCCAUGGUGGACGAAAGCCGACGGAGCCAUGGUGGACGAGAGCCGACGGCGCCAUGGUGGACGAGAACCGGCAGAGGAGCCGUGGUGGAGGCCCUGCCUUAAGAAUGAUGUCGGGACCCGAUGGCCUUGGCUGAUGGAGGAACUGCAUCUGGAGGACGACCAUGAAUCAACCUGCCAACAGGUGGUACUGGUUUGCACUGGUUUGCACUGGUUUGCAUGAACUGAACAUGGUGGACAUGAGGCAAAUUCCCUGCUGUUUGCCCCAGACCAGGACUGGGUGAUGGAGGGGUGGUGAUGGAGCCAUGCUGAGGACCCGCUGGUGAAGGACGUCCCUCGUGGGGGGGGCAAGGACAGCCGACCCUGAGUGAUCUCUGCAGCGUUGUCGGUGGGAGGAGAUGUGUCCGAGCCGUUGAACCAGGCUCUAUCGGUGUCAGGACGCGUUGGUGGAGGAGGAGGGAUGAUGGAGGAGAGCCGAUGGAGCCUUGGUGGACGAGAGCCGAGGGCGCCAUGGUGGACGAGAGCCGGCGGCGCCAUGGUGGACGAGAGCCGACGGCGCCAUGGUGGACGAGAGCCGAAGGCGCCAUGGUGGACGAGAGCCGAUGGAGGAGCCAUGGUGGAGGUCCUGCCUUAAGAAUGAUGUCGGGACCCGAUGGGCUUGGCUGAUGGAGGAACUGCAUCUGGAGGACGACCAUGAAUCUACCUGCCAACAGGUGGUACUGGUUUGCACUGGUUUGCAUGAACUGAACAUGGUGGACUUGAGGCAAAUUCCCUGCUGUUUGCCCCAGACCAGGACUGGGUGAUGGAGCCAUGCUGAGGACCUGCUGGUGAAGGACGUCCCUCGUGGGGGGGGCAAGGACAGCCGAACCUGAGGAUCCGCUCGGAAGACUACGAUGCGACUGCAGAGGUCUGUGGAAGACCAGGAGUCCUUGGCUGAGGAGAGCUGAUGGAGGAGCCGUGCACCUGGAGAACCAUGAGUCUGCCUGCCAACAAGUAUUACUGGAAGGCGGGGCAUAGGGAGGUGAUGGAGGACCUGCCUGGUGAAGGACCUGCCUGGUGAAGGACGUCAGGGUGGGGCGAGUGACACCCGACUCCAAGGGGAUAUCCACUGAGGAGAGAGCUGAAGGAGCCAUGCAUCUGGAAGGUGCAGUUGAAAUGCUGUAUCCAGUCUGGGACACACACCUGAGCUGCGUCAAACCUGUAUUUCUGACCAGCUGGAGUCCCUUAGUGAUCAGCAACCGCCCCUCAUCGCUGGCCUGUGGAUUCAUCUCCUUCACACUCACACAACGUGAACUUGGCCUGUGGAUUCAUCUACUCCACACUCGCACAACAGGACUUUGGCCUGUGGAUUCAUCUCCUCCACACUCACGCAACGUGACCUUCUCACCAUCUGUUGCACGUUUGGAUGCACCUAGCGUGUUCCAUCGAGGGUUCCUUCCUCCCCACAGUGGGAGGGAGGGUUCCUUGUCCUUCAAGGCGUCGGGGUUCAGUGUUAGGGACAGAGUUAGGGACAGAUGGCUGCGCUGGAUUCACGAUAUACGCUUUGUGAUCAAAAUGGGUUCGGACAUUGGACAAAACGCUUCCCAAAAUGUUUCAAUGUGCAAACGAUUUUAUAAAACAUAUACGUAUAUAACAAAUUCUACCUGGUUGUGUGGCUUUUUCUGCAUGUUGUGCAUUUUGUGAUGUUUAAUACUGACCAUAAUGAGUUGACCUAUACACAUCUACC